GGGCUGCUGGUCUAGUGGUAUGAUUCUCGCUUAGGGUUCACCCUGAUGUACAUAUUUGCGAGAGGUCCCGGGUUCAAUCCCCGGGUGGCCCC
rnacentral:tRNA from 1 species